GUUAAGCGACUAAGCGUACACGGUGGAUGCCCUGGCAGUCAGAGGCGAUGAAGGACGUGCUAAUCUGCGAUAAGCGUCGGUAAGGUGAUAUGAACCGUUAUAACCGGCGAUUUCCGAAUGGGGAAACCCAGUGUGAUUCGUCACACUAUCAUUAACUGAAUCCAUAGGUUAAUGAGGCGAACCGGGGGAACUGAAACAUCUAAGUACCCCGAGGAAAAGAAAUCAACCGAGAUUCCCCCAGUAGCGGCGAGCGAACGGGGAGCAGCCCAGAGCCUGAAUCAGUGUGUGUGUUAGUGGAAGCGUCUGGAAAGGCGCGCGAUACAGGGUGACAGCCCCGUACACAAAAAUGCACAUACUGUGAGCUCGAUGAGUAGGGCGGGACACGUGGUAUCCUGUCUGAAUAUGGGGGGACCA
rnacentral:rRNA from 1 species